rnacentral:rRNA from 1 species
GACGAACGCUGGCGGCGUGCUUAACACAUGCAAGUCGAACGGAAAGGCCCUGCUUUUGUGGGGUGCUCGAGUGGCGAACGGGUGAGUAACACGUGAGUAACCUGCCCUUGACUUUGGGAUAACUUCAGGAAACUGGGGCUAAUACCGGAUAGGAGCUCCUGCUGCAUGGUGGGGGUUGGAAAGUUUCGGCGGUUGGGGAUGGGCUCGCGGCCUGUCAGCUUGUUGGUGGGGUAGUGGCUUACCAAGGCUUUGACGGGUAGCCGGGCUGAGAGGGGGACCGGCCGCAGUGGGACUGAGAUACGGCCCAGACUGCUACGGGAGGGAGCAGUGGGGAAUAUUGCACAAUGGGCGGAACGCUGAUGCAGCAACGCAGCGUGCGGGAUGACGGCCUUCGGGUGGUAAACCGCUUUCGACUGUGACGAAGCGUGAGUGACGGUAAUGGGUAAAGAAGCACCGGCUAACUACGUG